AACGAACGCUGGCGGCAGGCUUAACACAUGCAAGUCGAACGCCCCGCAAGGGGAGUGGCAGACGGGUGAGUAACGCGUGGGAACAUACCCUUUCCUGCGGAAUAGCUCUGGGAAACUGGAAUUAAUACCGCAUACGCCCUACGGGGGAAAGAUUUAUCGGGGAAGGAUUGGCCCGCGUUGGAUUAGCUAGUUGGUGGGGUAAAGGCCUACCAAGGCGACGAUCCAUAGCUGGUCUGAGAGGAUGAUCAGCCACAUUGGGACUGAGACACGGCCCAAACUCCUACGGGAGGCAGCAGUGGGGAAUAUUGGACAAUGGGCGCAAGCCUGAUCCAGCCAUGCCGCGUGAGUGAUGAAGGCCUUAGGGUUGUAAAGCUCUUUCACCGAUGAAGAUAAUGACGGUAGUCGGAGAAGAAGCCCCGGCUAACUUCGUGCAGCCGCCGCAGUAAUAC
rnacentral:rRNA from 1 species